rnacentral:rRNA from 1 species
GACGAACGUUGGCGGCGUGCUUAAUACAUGCAAGUCCACUGAAGCAGUGGUAGCAAUAUCGCUGUGGAGGUGGCGCACGGGUGAGUAACACGUAGGUAAUCUGCCUUCAGGUCUGGCAUAACUCCGGGAAACCGGGGCUAAUAGCAGAUGAUGCAGCGGCUCGACAUCGAGACAGUUGUUAAAGCUAUGGCGCCUGAAGAUGAGCCUGCGUCUGAUUAGCUAGUUGGCGGGGUAACGUCCCACCAAGGCAACGAUCAGUAGCUGGUCUGAGAGGAUGAUCAGCAACACUGGAACUGAGACACGGUCCAGACUCCUACGGGAGGCAGCAGUAAGGAAUAUUGCUCAAUGGGAGAAAUCCUGAAGCAGCAACGACGCGUGAGGGACGAAGGGCUUUUGCUUGUAAACCUCUGUAGUGAGAGAAAAAAAUCCCAAUCUUUGGGACAUGAUGGUAUCUCAAAAGUAAGCCCCGGCUAACUACGUG